GGGUGUUAAUAAAGUGGUUCUGAAGCGAAACGAUGUGUUAGUUUAAGAAAAAUGUAGUAAAUUAUAAACUGUAAUGUCCAGCUCCCGGUCUCUCAAGCAGACACGUUCUCGACAAGGCGGUCGAGAGUAUGACUUAAGCGUAAUGAAAGGCGCAACGUAAAAUCCAGAAGAAGACUGUAGUCUUGCGAGAGUAUAAACUCUGGGGAAAAGCGUGUAAUCUUGCAAGAACCAACUUUUGUGUACAGCACAGGGAAACCAUGUGAACAAAUAAAUUGUAUCUGUUUUGAUUAAAAUGUUGCGUUUAUGUCAAUACCCGGGAUGUUUAAAUAAGUUUGUGACGGGUGUUUUGUUUUGCUUUCUUAUCUGUUCAUCUGCGUUUGUCAAUACCUGGGAUGUUUAAAUAAGUUUGUGACAGGUGUUUUGUUUUGCUUUCUUAUCUGUUCAUCUGCGUUUGUCACUUUCUCCCCGGAUCUUACGUUGUGCCUUUCCUUGCGCCUAUGUCAUAUGCUCGACCUCCUUUUGUGAACGUGCCUGCUUAAGCGACCUGAAGCUGUUAGGGCUGUGCAAAAAUUGAAUAUGAUUUUCAUGCGCAUCUCGUCAGUAAAACCGCUCCUGUGAUUAGUAGUAAAUCUCCAACACGUGCUUUCAGAUGGAGAGGCAUUUACUACACAGAGCCAUAGUUCACUGACAGGCGAUUUUGAACGUGAUUUGUGAACUAUAGCUCUGUGUAAAAUCGCAUUCGAUUUUUUGCACAGGUCUGCUGGACAUUACAAUAUAUAAGUUUUAAGAAACUAUAUUUUUCUUAAACUAAAGCAAUGUUUCACUUCAGAAGGCUUUUAUUAACACCCCAUAGGCGUGUGGAGUAGUUUUAGAUGGAUAGAUUUUUUUUCAGAUUCAUAAACAGGGGCACCUUUCACUGCAAUUAUACAGAUUGGAACAGACAGGACAAUGUCUAAUAUAACUCCGAAUGUGUUCGUCGGAAAGACGAAUGUCAGACACGCCUAGCAUGCCUUGAGGGUGAGUAAAUCUUGGACUAAUUUUAAUUUUUGGGUAAACUAUCCCUUUAAGUGUAUGUUCUUUAAGAUUUUAAAUCAUUAUUACUGUUGUGUAAUUUAUCUGAAUUGAUUGAAUUUGAGGAUUUCUUUAAUUGACUUGAUUAAGUAAUAGGAUUUUUCAGUUUGCAUAUUGAAUAUAAAUACACUAAUAACAUCCAGACACUUACAAAAGUCAUUGGUCAGUGCAUUUGCAUCUAAAUAUCAGCUAGGCAGUUUGACAAGAAAGGCAUAAAUGUGUUUCUAGAGGCACUUUCUAUUUUGUGCUGUAAAUGUGUGUGUUUAACAAAGAUAAAUACCACUACAAAAACAUCAACAUAGGCAUGGUACAUUAAAUCCCACAGUGCU
ensembl:lncRNA